AUACGUAGGGGGCGAGCGUUGUCCGGAAUGAUUGGGCGUAAAGGGCGCGUAGGCGGCCCGGUAAGUCUGGAGUGAAAGUCCUGUUUUUAAGCUGGGAAUUGCUUUGGAUACUGUCGGGCUUGAGUGCAGGAGAGGUAAGUGGAAUUCCCAGUGUAGCGGUGAAAUGCGUAGAGAUUGGGAGGAACACCAGUGGCGAAGGCGACGUACUGGACUGUAACUGACGCUGAGGCGCGAAAGUGUGGGGAGCAAACAGGACUAGAUACCCUGGUAGUCCACACUGUAAACGAUGAAUGCUAGGUGUAGGGGGUAUCGACCCCUUCUGUGCCGCAGUCAACACAAUAAGCAUUCCGCCUGGGGAGUACGGCCGCAAGGUUGAAACUCAAAUGAAUUGACGGGG
rnacentral:rRNA from 1 species